UGUUUUACACCGUAGAUAACCAGGCAGGCAGAAUUCAUCUCCGAGGAACUGGUUCUUUUUCCUUGAAAGCUGAUUCAUGGCCCUUUGGUUAUGGCAGGAAGGGUCCCAGUUCAUCUGCAGAGAUGAGCUGCUCUGCACAGAGGAGCGAUAGGAAUUCAGGAGUUGUCUUCUUGUAGCUAAAUGAUGAGUUGUAGGGGUAAGAUUGGAACUGGGAGAAGAGAGGAUACAGGAGAAAAGCUUGAGUAAAAAGAAGGUGAAAUGGUAGAAAGCUGGACUCUAAGAAGGAAAGUAACUGGUGAGAAAUUCUGACGGAUGGCCAAGGAACUCGAGGAAUGGAGAUGUCUAAUGUUCUAUUUUAAGUUGGUUCCUGCUCCUUGGUGCUGCUCUAUUACCUCGAAACUUUCAGAAAAAGUCUGUGGCAGGAGAUUCUUCACAUAGAGCACCCUCUCAGCCCUUCUAUGAGUCCUCAAGUCUUUCUGCGACAGAAGAGACAGAAACUAUAAACUAUAAUUUGGUUUCAGUUCAGGUCACUAAAUGCCAUUUCUGGCAUCCCUGAACUUGUGAAUGACCAAUGAUCAUAUGAUCAUGUGAGUUACUAUCAUCUCUAACCUGUGUACAACUGCCACAGCAUGAAUUAGUGAAAGGAUACAGAGUAAAGUCAGCAAAGAAGAAAGGCUUUGGAGCAAAGCCAGGAGAAACCACAGGCUUCCAAGUGAACCCUCCCGGUGGAGUUGCAUGAGGACUCACUUCAUUCUCCCAGCAACAGUGUGUGACAACCCAUGGUGGUGUUGCCAAUUGGAAAAGCUCACCCAAGCCUUGUUGUCCAAAGCUCUUAAUGAGGAGUCAGUCAUGGAGACAUACAAAGCCUGUGUAACUGGCCUCGCUGCCCCAAUAACUCCCUCUCCCCCACCCCCAGAGCCAAACUAAGAGUUCAUCUUAAGUCAUUUUAUUAGGAUAAACUUAUUGGGUCAAACUGAUAUAGCCUCUCCCAAGGCCCCAGGGAUACAAAAACAUUCAUCAGUCAGAAUAUUCCAAGGGCCCCCAAAACUCAAGCACCUGCACCUCUUCUCCAAGGACUGCCUUCACACAGCUGGAACCACUUUGCUCACCUUUAAAAAGAGCCAUAGGUACCUAGGAUCUGCCUCCAUGCUGGGAUGGCCCUUGCCUAAGCCUGACAGGUGCAGGAGUGAAAGAGCGAAGCAACCUUGCCUUGUGUGUAGACAACGUUGAGGUGUAGCUUGUAUUCCAGGGUUUCCCUGUAGGAUAGUGUUAACUCUGACCUCUAUGAGACUUUGCCUGAAAUCACUCUCUUGCUUGACUUCCUUUUUUUUUCUUGUCCUCCUACACCCACUCUUUUACUGGUCUCCCUAGCAGCAUUCAGUGAUGUGCUGACACUGGCUAGUUCCAAAAGCUGAUUGUUAGCAACUCUUCCCAACUCCAUAUUCAGAGAUAUCCUGUUGGUAGCUUUAAACUGGUCAUGGUGGAAGUACUCACUAUAGAGUAUUUGUGGAAAUUGUUGAAUGCUUGAUUUAUUUAUCAAGCUUAUUUAUUUUCUUUCCAUAAAGCCAGUUGUUACUCAUUUACUAUCACACCACUGAGCACUUCCUUAAUAAAUCACUUGAAUAUGA
rnacentral:lncRNA from 1 species